rnacentral:rRNA from 1 species
GACGAACGCUGGCGGCGUGCCUAAUACAUGCAAGUAGAACGCUGAAGGAGGAGCUUGCUUCUCUGGAUGAGUUGCGAACGGGUGAGUAACGCGUAGGUAACCUGCCUGGUAGCGGGGGAUAACUAUUGGAAACGAUAGCUAAUACCGCAUAACAGUAGAUGUUGCAUGACAUUUGCUUAAAAGGUGCAAUUGCAUCACUACCAGAUGGACCUGCGUUGUAUUAGCUAGUUGGUGGGGUAACGGCUCACCAAGGCGACGAUACAUACCGACCUGAGAGGGUGAUCGGCCACCUGGGACUGAGACACGGCCCAGACUCCUACGGGAGGCAGCAGUAGGGAAUCUUCGGCAAUGGACGGAAGUCUGACCGAGCAACGCCGCGUGAGUGAAGAAGGUUUUCGGAUCGUAAAGCUCUGUUGUAAGAGAAGAACGAGUGUGAGAGUG